CCUACGGGAGGCAGCAGUGGGGAAUAUUGGGCAAUGGGCGAAAGCCUGACCCAGCAACGCCGCGUGAAGGAAGAAGGCUUUCGGGUUGUAAACUUUUUUUGAUAGGGAAGAGCAGAAGACGGUACCUGUCGAAUAAGCUACGGCUAACUACGUGCCAGCAGCCGCGGUAAUACGUAGGUGGCAAGCGUUGUCCGGAUUUACUGGGUGUAAAGGGCGUGUAGCCGGGCUGACAAGUCAGUUGUGAAAUCCGGGGGCUCAACCGCCGAACUGCAUUUGAAACUGGUGGUCUUGAGUAUCGGAGAGGCAGGCGGAAUUCCUGGUGUAGCGGUGAAAUGCGUAGAUAUUAGGAGGAACACCGAUGGCGAAGGCGGCCUACUGAACGGCCACUGACGGUGAGGCGCGAAAGCGUGGGGAGCAAACAGGAUUAGAUACCCGAGUAGUC
rnacentral:rRNA from 1 species